AGACACCCUGAUGUGUUUAAAUAGUUUAAAACAUGGUCUGUCUGCAGAUUUAUUUGAGCUACUUUUAGGCUUAACUAAUAUCUUACACUCACUCAACAAUCAGAUUUUUUGUGUUUUUUAAGUUCUGCAUGUUAAACCACAGCAGCCGUUUCCUGUCGCUGACUCCAGAUCACCAUAGACUUUUUAGAUUAAAUAAUUUUAAUGUUAAAUAUUGACUAUGUCAACAGAUAAAGGCACGAAUGACGUCACAGACGAUAUCACAUACAGUGAAAUGAAAAUAUCACAUCGUCGGCAACAACCAAUCAAACAAAGCGGAGUUGUGCCUCGAGAAAGUGACCCAGCUGUGGUCUACUCAACAGUGAGAACUAAAGAUGGCAAAUAUGGACAAAUAGGUGUCAGACCAAAGAAGACCACAGAAUGAGAUGUGAUCGACUCUUCAGUCCACCAAUCCAACCACUGACAUCCAGCUUCUGGUCUCUAUAUUGUCAGCUCUCCACCUCAGAGGAGACCACAUUCACUCGUUGAUACAGAUGUUUGUUUUAUGUCUUUUUAUGACUGAAUAAGACCCAAAAGUCACACCCUUUUUAACAGGGAUUUUAAAAGAGUUUUUUUUCUGUAAUAUAUGUGACAAUUAUUUAAAUAGGCUCAUAUGAUUUAUGUCCUUAGUAACUUUUGUGUUAUUUAUAUUUUAUUUAUGUUUGUUGUAUUUUAGGAUGGAUCAAUAAACUUUUGAUUUUACUUGCUUUUCACACGUGGUUCUGUGGGUUGCAUAAAGGUCACACAUGGAAAAUUUGAUUUGUUACAGUCUGCAUGUGGUUAACCGAUAGUGCAGAAAACGAUGAAAAUUAAACCACAAGUGCAGACUAAAAACAGCAGGAGCAUUAUUCAGUGGCUGUAGGAUGCACAGAAAAGCAUCACUACAGGAUGUGUGCAUGUGUGUGUGUUUGAAACUAAAGAAUUUGAUCUUUUUUCAUUUCUGCACUCAAUGAGAAACCAGUUGGCAGCAGAUGACGUGGCAAAAAAUGUUCCAUUUUUCAUUGAAUAACUCUUGACUUUUUACAGCAAACAUGCAGAAACCCAUUUAUUGCUAUUUUUUUAUUAUUUCAUUUAUUGAUUAUGAUGAAAAUAGAGAGUUGAAGUGUUUCAGUGUCUGAUUAACUACAAACUUAUGAGCAUCUCAGGCAGACUGGAUCACACCACCUGAAGCUGAUUAGAGCUCCAUAUGUUAAACAUCUCUGUGAAGAACAAAAUGGCCACAAAUCAUAUUUAAAGUCUUCUGGGACUUAGUGAUAAUUCCAUCUGGGUGUUUCAGAUGACUAACAAAAGAUUUUGCUAAUCAUGUUCACAAGAUGCAAAUCUAAAUUAGGGUUUUUUUUCUAGAUAUUGUACAAUAUGACAGAAAUUUUCACUACUGCAGUAAUGAUCUGUAUGUUAAGUAUCUGGUGUGUGCAUAUUUUAGGAUCUCAAACAUUUAGUAUACAGAUAACAUCUGUCAAAUAUCUAGUUUUGGGGCUUUAAUAUACAUGAUCUCAAAACUGGAUAUUUCAAAGAUAAAGUUAGUAUGCAAAGAGAUCUGAGAACAGCUCUUCGGUGGAUUAAAUAUUUGGAUCUUGCAUGUGUACUUUACUCAUCUACUCAUGGGGGCCUUUUGAAUUGCCAAGACCAAUGACCAAUUUGCCAUCGGUGACCCUACCUGGGUGCAAAAGCCGCCCUUACAACACAGCCUAUGGGAUCCCUAGUGUUUUUUUUACUGGACUUCUGUGCAACUUUACAGUUUGUCCAUAACAAACACCAUGUUUGAUAAUAAGGGUGUCUAUAAGUGCACAUGGCACCAGGACACCCUAUGUCACAGGACAAUGAUCGAUCUUGUAAUCCUGCCAGACCUGCAGCAACACACUCAGACAAAAACUGGUUCACCCGAA